CCAUGGUCACUAGCUGAGGGCAUGGUGGGGGUCUGCCUGGAAGGGGCUCUGCUUCUUGCCCUUUGCAGCCAGCCAGGCAAGUGCAGUUCCAAAGAAGGUUUGGGUGCUGGUAGGAGGGUGAGGGGUAGAGUAGGGGCUAAUUUCUGGGGCCUGAUCACCAUCCUCCCAAAAGUAUCAGAGUGCCCCAAGUCUGAGGCAUGUGGGGGCCACUUCACUGCCCAAGCAAUUUCCUAUGUGGCAGGAAAAGUAGGAGCCAGAGACCCCUAGAUGCAGGGAGCUGCCGAAUGUCUGCCUCUCCUAGCAGAGGGCAGUGGCGGUCCCACCUGCAGGGUGCAAGGCCACCAGUCUGCCAGGCCUCCCCCAGAGCUCAAACUACCUGCCUAGUAUGUUUGAAAGAGUGAAGUGGCCCUUAGUUUGGUAGGUGCUCAGCAGGGUGGGGGCAAGCACUGCCCCUUUUCCUACUGCCUGUCUUUGCUUGUUCUCUAGCCGGGCCAUUCCACUGCUGAGUGGAGCUUGCAGGCCAGGACUGGAGGGUUCGUCCCCGCCUCUGGGGCCAAGUUGGCUUUCUCUGUCUCCCAACUGCAGGCUGGCCCUAUCCAGCAGCUGGCAUGUACCAGUCCCCAGGGAUAACAGGCCCAUGUGCAAUUAUGGAGACACAGCUUAAAAUGGCUCAGCUAGGGCCCCUCCCAUCUCAUCAGACCCUGUGAGAUACAAGCCUGGUUUGGAGGCUGCCUUUGUGGCUGACUCCAAACCCAGUUGUAGUGCCUUUUACUUUGUACUCCCUUAGAAAUGGCUAGAUGUGGUCUUGACAGAGGCUGGCUGUGAGAGGUGCCUUCUUUGGCCCUUGCUGCCCUCUGGGGCUCACCUGACUCAGGACAGAGGGUUAAGGGGUAAUGGCAGCGCGUUCCCACCUUCCAGUCCGGCUCCUGCUGUCUGUUGAUACAAGGCAGAAUCGCCUGUCAAUGAGAACAACAUCAGUGGAGCAUUUGCCGUGAAAGGGGCACAUGGGACAGGAAGGAGAAAAUUUGGAUGGAAUUCCAGAUCCCUACUCUCUUUUCUUGGCCAUGCCUCUCAGAGAUCAUGGCUUGGGGCGCGAGGGCCUAGAUGGCCAAGACUCAUAGGAAACUGACAUUUUAAAAGGAGAGCUGAUUUGUGAAGCCAGCUGUGAGUGGCUUGGAUAUUUCUAGAAAUCUUAAGUAAUUGUCUCCAGUGAGUGGAGAUGAGCUCAGGGGAGGGCUUUUCUUAGUCCUGUCCAUGAGUCACUGUCUUAAGAUAGUGUCUGACACGGCGUGUGCCUUCCGCGGCUCCAGGAAGGCCUCUGAGAAGCCCCAAGGCAUUGAUUCCUGAGCUUGGAGGACUGCAGUGGGCCACAGCUCAUGUGGACCAACGACAGCAUUAUCCUCAGGUGUAGAACAGGCAGCGAAGCUAAGUGACACAGGGAACUCACCCGGCCAGCACGUGGUGGAGGGCCCUCAUGUCUACCACACCAGGAUACCUCGUACCUCCCACCACCUCCAGGAUGACUGCUUAGAACCACUUCUUUGCCAUUAAGAUCCCUUCUGGAAGUCAGGGUUCUCAACUUGGCUGUAACUGAGUGGUGCUAAGGUAGAUCCACCUACAGCCAGUUAUGAGCUGCCUGUGACCUGGGAAUGGAGAUCAGGUCUGGUCCUGAUACAUCAGACAUCAUGGUAUUAUUUGUUCCCAAUAUGUUUUGUCUGCAUCCUCAAGAUUAGAUAGAAAGGAAGAAGGCAAUGGUUUUUCGAUUCUCCUGCUUCCAUGCUACCCUUCUCUACCCAGUUGGCGUGCCUCAGCCCCUGUCCCAGUCAACCCACCACACCCUCUGGGAUCAGUCUUCAAGCCAGGAUGUCUAUUGCUGCUACAAAAAAUUACUGCAAACUUAGUGUUUAAAACAACACAAAUGUAUUAUUUUACAGUUCUGUAAUUCAGAAGUCUGACAUGGGUCUUGGUGGGCUACAGUCAAGGUGUCAGCAGGGCUUUGUUCCUUUCUGGAGGCUCUAGGGGAGAAUCUGUUUCUUUGUCCUGUCCAGCUUCUGGAGGCCACCAGAAUGCCUUGACUUGUCACCCCCUUCCUCCUUCUUCAAAGCCAACAGAAGCAGGUUGAGUUCGUCUCACGUGACAUCACUUGAAUGCUCUCUUCUGCCUCUCUCUUCCACUCGAGACCCGCUGCAGUGCGGAGCCUGGGUCGGACAGUGUGCUCUAUACAUUGUGAUCAUGAUUUUUGAAAAAUCCGUCGUCUUCAUUGUCCUCCUAAUACUUCAGUGGAAAAAGGUGGCCCUAUUGAAUCC